UUCUGGUUGAUCCUGCCGGAGGCUACCGCUAUUGGAGUUCGAUUAAGCCAUGCGAGUCGAGAGUCUUAGGGACUCGGCGUACCGCUCAGUAACACGUGGGUAACCUGCCCUAUGCUGGGGAAUAACCUCGGGAAACUGAGAAUAAUACCCCAUAGUUCACCACGCCUGGAACGGUGGGUGGAUGAAAGCUCCGGCGGCAUAGGAUGGGCCUGCGACGUAUCAGGUUGUAGGGGGUGUAACGUACCCUCUAGCCAUCAACGCGUACGGGUGUUGGGAGACAUAGCCCGGAGAUGGAUUCUGAGACACGAAUCCAGACCCUACGGGGUGCAGCAGGCGCGAAAACUUGGCAAUGCGAGCAAUCGUGACCAGGGAACUCCAAGUGGCUGGGGUAAUACCCAGUUUUUUCUUGACUCUUCAAAGGUCUUGGAAUAAGGGGUGGGUAAGGACGGUGCCAGCCGCCGCGGUAAUACCGGCGCCUCAAGUGGUAGUCGCUUUUAUUGGGCCUAAAACGUCCGUAGCCGGUCUGGUGCAUUCGUGGGUAAAUCAACCCGCUCAACGGGUUGAAUUCUGCGAGCACGGCCAGACUUGGGACCGGGAGAGGUGUGGGGUACUCUCAGGGUAGGGGUAAAAUCCUGUCAUCCUGAGAGGACCACCUGUUGCGAAGGCGC
rnacentral:rRNA from 1 species